rnacentral:rRNA from 1 species
CCUACGGGUGGCAGCAGUGAGGAAUAUUGGUCAAUGGACGAGAGUCUGAACCAGCCAAGUAGCGUGAAGGAUGACUGCCCUAUGGGUUGUAAACUUCUUGUAUAUGGGAAUAAAACGUUCCACGUGUGGGAUUUUGUAUGUACCAUAUGAAUAAGGAUCGGCCAACUCCGUGCCAGCAGCCGCGGUAAUACGGAGGAUCCGUUCGUUAUCCGGAUUCAUUGGGUUUAAAGGGUGAGCAGGCGGGCCUUUAAGACGGCGGUGAAAUCGCGGGGCUCAAUCCCGCGGAGCGGUCGGAACUGGGGGCCUUGAGUGCAGCGGAGGCAUGCGGAAUGCGCGGUGUAGCGGUGAAAUGCAUAGAUAUCGCGCAGAACCCCGAUUGCGAAGGCAGCGUGCCGUGCCGCAACUGACGCUGAGGCACGAAAGCACGGGGAUCGAACAGGAUUAGAUACCCGAGUAGUC